rnacentral:rRNA from 1 species
GACGAACGCUGGCGGCGUGCCUAAUACAUGCAAGUAGAACGCUGAAGCGAGGAGCUUGCUCUUCUUGGAUGAGUUGCGAACGGGUGAGUAACGCGUAGGUAACCUGCCUUGUAGCGGGGGAUAACUAUUGGAAACGAUAGCUAAUACCGCAUAACAAUGGAUGACACAUGUCAUUUAUUUGAAAGGGGCAAUUGCUCCACUACAAGAUGGACCUGCGUUGUAUUAGCUAGUAGGUGAGGUAAUGGCUCACCUAGGCGACGAUACAUAGCCGACCUGAGAGGGUGAUCGGCCACACUGGGACUGAGACACGGCCCAGACUCCUACGGGAGGCAGCAGUAGGGAAUCUUCGGCAAUGGGGGCAACCCUGACCGAGCAACGCCGCGUGAGUGAAGAAGGUUUUCGGAUCGUAAAGCUCUGUUGUAAGUCAAGAACGGGUGUGAGAGUGGUAAGUUCACACUGUGACGGUAGCUUACCAGAAAGGGACGGCUAACUACGUG